rnacentral:rRNA from 1 species
AGUGAACGCUGGCGGUAGGCUUAACACAUGCAAGUCGAACGGCAGCACAGUAAGACCUUGCUCUUACGGGUGGCGAGUGGCGGACGGGUGAGGAAUACAUCGGAAUCUACUUUUUCGUGGGGGAUAACGUAGGGAAACUUACGCUAAUACCGCAUACGACCUACGGGCGAAAGCAGGGGAUCUUCGGACCUUGCGCGAUUGAAUGAGCCGAUGUCGGAUUAGCUAGUUGGCGGGGUAAAGGCCCACCAAGGCGACGAUCCGUAGCUGGUCUGAGAGAAUGAUCAGCGACACUCGAACUGAGACACGGUCCAGACUCCUACGGAAAGCAGCAGUGGGGAAUAUUGGACAAUGGGCGCGAGCCUGAUCCAGCCAUAGCGCGUGGGUGAAGAAAGCCUUCGGGUUGGGAAGCCGUAUUGUUGGGAAAGAAAAGCAGCAGGUUAAUGACCCGCUGUACUGACGGUACCCAGAGAAUAAGCACCGGCUAACUUCGUG